GACUUCAGCUGUACUUCCCAUUUGGUUUUGUUGCACUCACAAACAGAAACAGUUCAGGAAGCUUUAAUAAAACUGUCUCUUUCCAUUGAAGAGAUACCAGAUGAUGGGCUGCAUUACAGUAUGUUACGAGUCUGCCUGCAUGAACAUCAGCCUUGCCAAAGGCUUCUCACGCCUCCUCAGUAAAUGUGUCUUUGCUAAAGGCUGCUUUUUUGGGUGAAGGGAACAAGGUAUAAGAACACACUCUAAUAUACGCCUGCUCUUCUCAGGGAGGAGACACAGCAAUGUGCCCCAUGCAAACAGUCACAUCUUCUGUAAUCACACUUGAUCUGUCCUAAGUUGUGACUUCUAUUACGUUAUAGUAGGUCAAGACAUGUUACUUGUGCUAAUCAUUUUACACACAAUCACUGAGUCAGAAUGUUCUGAUGUCAUUAAAACUGAGUAACGAGAAUGCAUCAAAAGUGAAGAUACACCUAUAUUAUGUUAUAUAAAACAAUGCUGUUCAAAAUAAAAUCACACAAAAUGUAUCUUAUUAGAGAGCAAUUACCAUUUCAUAGGUUGGGGAGGAGGAGAUGACAAAUCCAGAUGGCUCAUAAACAAGCUAAUCUUCUUGCAUGUAUGUAUCUAAA